AGAUCGAGAGGGGAGAGAGAGGCGGCGGCAUCCUGCGCAGGAGCGAGCGACGCCGACGUCGUGCGGCGGGGCCAGCGGCGCCCGUUGCUUCCUACCUUCUCCGUCCUUCUCCCCCCCCCCCCCCCCCCCCCAUCCCUCCUCUCGCCGGCCCCCUCAUCUUCUUCAGAGCCGGCGGCGGCAACCUACUACAGCGCCCUAGUGCCCUUCUCUCUCUCGUCUGCUGCUGCUCCGCGCAUCCUCCCAGUGAGGCCGAAUGGAUCAGGAGAAGGUACAAAACUAGAGGAAGACUACCUGCCUGACCGCACUGUGUCCUUCCAUCAUCCCAGCGGCAGUGGAGGCAGCAUGCAGUUCAUGUCUCUCGGCCAGAGCAACAACGCCAUUAUCGGUGUUGACAAUGAGUGCCGUACCAUCCUUUACAACACCGAGUGGCACUCCAUACGCACAAUGCCCAGUAUGCACGGUUGCAAAUGGUCUCCUCCGGUAUCACUUGCAGUGAACAACAGCCUGUACGUCAUGGAGUUGUAUCCUCGGCAAGAUGGCCAUGUCUCCUUUGAGGUGCUCGCCUACGGCAGCCAGCAUGCAUACGGCAGCCAGCCCGUCUAUGGCAGGAUGCCCAGCAAGCCCAGCAGAGCGUACCGGGAGGACUGGUACUGGCGCUCUCUCCCACCACCUCCCUAUGUGCACUAUCAAGGAUAUGAAAAGGGAGAGAGAGAGAGGGGAUAGAGACUAGAGA
rnacentral:lncRNA from 1 species